ensembl:lncRNA
GAAGCUUCAGAUGCAAACACGUGUUUUAACUAGAGGUUUUUCUUUUGCAGCAAUGGCGACUGCGACGAGCAUGGCCUCAUGGGAAGUUUCCAUGCAGGCUGCUGGGAUGAGCAGGCGGAAAUCUAUUAAAUUUAAGGGCUCCUUCACGUGAUCUUGGAGGGCAUGGUGACCAUAGAUGUUGUAUUGAUCAUCCCACUUUGUCUUGGUGAUGAUGGUGUGGCUAUAAAGAUGUUCAUUGUUGGAACAAAAUGGCUUUUUCAGCAAGAACCUGCAACUCCCUAAGGACUGUUAUUUGUCCAAAACAAAGUGGGUCAAGUCCUUUGCUGGUAUUAGGUUGCGUACCUGAAGUACUCUCAGCAGGUUGCAUACCUGAAAUACUCCGCAGGUGGCACAUCUGAGAUGAGACAUUCACAGGUGAGAAUUCUGUUCCUAAUAUACAAAAUGACAAACCUAUUGCAGCUGGUCCUUUUAUGAUGUUACUUGCACAUGUCUUAUGCCCUGUGUCAAUACCAGAACCUGAAAAGGUGAACCCACUGGUGUUGCCUGGGUAACAAGGGGAUGACUUGUUGGGGUUACCAACAGUCUGAGAAGGACUAGCUUUAGUGUAGACAAGUUUCUUUACAUACGUUCCCUAAUCUUGUUUCUCUUGAUUCCUUGCAGGACUACAGUGGAUUCUUGAAGUCCUUCCCCCUUGAGCAUACUAUAACAGUAUGUAUUUUGUGUUUUCAACUUCAGAGACAUGUGAGCUAUCCUAGUAGGUGUGAUGAUGGAAUUACCGCCCCAGUCUGAUUAAUCUGACUGAAUGGUACCCUCUGACCUCAGUAACUGUUUAAACGAGGCGUUUUAGGAGGACGUGGAUGAGUCUUAACUUUUUAUAAAGAAUAUCUCUUUGGGUUUGAGACUUUAGUUCUUUGCAACUUUAGGGAUCUUAUCCUUUCACAAACAACUUGUAACUCAAAAGAGAAAGGAAAACUUAAUCGCAUCAUAUGACCCCUUUAGUAAAAAUUUACUACUGACAUUACAGCAUUUACAUAUGUGUAGCUCUCCCAUCUAAAUGCCUGGGAAAUAAGGGGAUGACUUGAGUACCAACAGUCUAAUAAGGAGUAGCAUUAGCAUACAUGAAGCAUGUUCAAUUAUUUGUUUUUGUUUCCUUACAGGACUGCAGUGAAUUUUCCCUCAGAGUUCUUUACCCCUUGAGCGUACUGAAGCUGGUAUGUAUUUUGUAUUUUCAAGUUGCGUUACAUGUGAAAUAGUAGGUGUGAUGACUGAGUUACCGCCCCAGUCUGAUUUAUCUGACUGAAUGGUACCCUCUGACCUCAGUGAUUUGUUUUGUUUGAAACUUACACAAUGUUGAUUGAAAAAGUAUGGAUAUGAGUUGAUUGCCCCAGGCUGAAAAGUAAAGACAGAUUGAUAUCCCCUCUGAUCCAUACUUCAUGUCUGUACUUUUUUUUUUUUUUUCUCCUCCCUUGUUCUUUAGGUGUUGCUACUGUCCAUCCAGGUUGUCCCAGUGUCACUUGAUUGCUGGUGUUCUGUUGACUUUUAAAGGUUUGUAUUUUGUAUCAGCUUUUGAAAGUUUAGUUUUACUUUUUAAUGAUGACAUUUAUCGCCCCAGUCUGAUGUGUUAUGACUGAUUGAUGAUUCUGAUAAAUCUAGAAAUAUUUAAAGGUGCUGAUUUAAGAGACUUUUACUGACACUCUUUAUCUCCCCCAGGUCACGUAAACUGCAUCAGAAGUUGAACUGGCUGACACACUGAUCUGUGUCCUUGUACAUCUGCUUAACUGGAGUGUUGGCUGAAUGGUGUUAUUGACUGACGAUAUAAAUGGAAUGUGUUUCCUUUGUAUUCUUUAUUCAAAAGCUGCUUGCAAAAUAAAUGGCUUUACUGAA